GGAGAUGUAGCACAGUGAUAGAGCACUUGCUUAGCAAGUAUGAGGCCCUAGAUUCAAUUUCUAGUAGCCCA
rnacentral:tRNA from 1 species